UACGUAGGUGGCAAGCGUUGUCCGGAUUUACUGGGUGUAAAGGGCGUGCAGCCGGGCUGACAAGUCAGAUGUGAAAUCCCGCGGCUCAACCGCGGAACUGCAUUUGAAACUGUCAGUCUUGAGUACCGGAGAGGUCAUCGGAAUUCCUUGUGUAGCGGUGAAAUGCGUAGAUAUAAGGAAGAACGCCAGUGGCGAAGGCGGAUGACUGGACGGCAACUGACGGUGAGGCGCGAAAGCGUGGGGAGCAAACAGG
rnacentral:rRNA from 1 species